UAAACCUUCAAGCCUCGCUUGGUGUUGGGUGUUGUCAGCUGCAAAUUUUUGUUUUUGUUUGUUCAGCAGACUCGCCUUGAAUUCAUUGGCAGCCGGCAAUUGGGUGUUGGAGCGCAGCACAUUUCGCGUUCUCCGCCCCAGUCGUUGGUGUCCAAAAAAGCUCAUCUUCAC
rnacentral:misc_RNA from 1 species